CCCAAGCACGUCACAGUUUAACUCUGAAAGUGGGUGUGCAAGCAACCUUAGAGCUGUUCGCAAGUUCUACCAUGGGGACCUUUAAAGAGCUGGAGAAGCGGCUGAAGAGGAAGGGCCAGGGUUUCCGAUCAGGAUCACCAAACCCAAGACCCGACAAAUGGAGGGCUUCCAAACAGGAGGGCACACAGGACCAUUUCCUCACACACAGUGAGGAGACAGGCUUUGUUGUGUGGCCUCUCACUCUUCUCUGGAGGAUCUCUACGGACAAGGAGGAUUUGGCCAGUGCGUGACAUUCCCAGUGAGUGGUCUUGGAUCACAGCAUCUGCUACCUUUGGAAACCUUUGUUCUUUGUUUGAAAACAUCUUUGGGGGGCACCAUAAACUUCUAUUGUCCGCUUACCCCUGAUUAUGAAGAACCUGAUGGACAAGUUUGGAGAGGAUAGAAAAUAAAGCUUGUAAUCAGUGCAAGCCUGGAGUCUUAAGCAAGUUGAUUCGGACACUGUGGGGAACUUGCUUCUAUCAUGAUUUUGCCCAGAGCAAAAACUAGUCUUGGUGAUUAAAAAAAAAAGUAAACCAAUAAAUUAAUCAUCGUGGAAAUAAGGGGCAAGCAGAAAAGACCUGAGAUUAUCUGGCGUGCAUUAUGUAAACAUGUUCCAUAGCUGUAAGAGUGAAAGGCCUGGCCUCUGCUAUCCUGAUUGACUCUCCGGGAAGAGAGGAUGUUGACAUGCUUCAUCUGUGCCUCACACAGUCAUUCCUCCUUCAUUAUUAAUGUCGGUUGAUGGGGAUCGGAGCUCAUCCGUACAUAGCCUGAACUUGACCGAGCAAGGGAUUGCUAAAUCCUUUCCUAUAACCAGCCUUAGUGUGCUGUUCCCAGGAAGAAAGACCUUGCUGGGUGGAACGCCUGAAUCCAGGUGAUUUUUCAAACCCCAGAGGUAAAAAGUAAAGGUGGCACACUUCAAAAACAGAAAAAGAAAGAUGGAUGAAGGGAGGAGGGCAGGAGAAAAGGAACGGCUCAGUUUCUCCCCUUUUUGCCAUCAGAAAGUAUGCUUAUACUUGCCUUGUCAUUACAUCAAAUGGCCAGGGGCAGAUAAAGCUCUGAAACCUGCUCGGGAUGGGAUGGCAGAAGACAACAGGUCACCCAGGUAACUGCAGGGAUUGCUGGCAGCAGACCCUCCCACAGCCCCAACUGCCAGGGACAAGGAAGCUUAUUUUUCUCUUAUGCGUCAAAGAGAGGAGCAGACGUGUGCUAUCAUGAGAUUAACACAUAUGCUGAAACCUUCAUCCCCAAGGAGAUGGCGUGAGUAGGUGGGGGUCUCUGGGGGUUAAUAUGAUCACAAAGAGGGAGCCUUGGGACAGGACCGGUGCCUUUAGGAGAGAGAAUCCAGGUUUCCUCCUCUCUCACAGACUCUGAGAAAGCAGCAACAUGACAGCAUCUGGAAAUCAGGAAGCAGCCCUCACAAAAGCCAGAUUUGGUAACCACUGGACCCUGAACUCGGCCUCCAGAACAUUGAAGGAUGCAUUUCUGUUAUCUCUGAGCCAGUUUCAGUGUUUUGUUACAGCAGCUCAAAUGGACUAAGACAGGCAAAAUUACACACUGGCACAGAGUAAUAAUCUUACAUUCCAGACCCUUAUUUCCAAAGAGCAACGACGCAGGAAAGGGUCUCUUAUCAUUCCUGGGAUGCAAAUAUUUAGGAAGGUGAAUACAUUCACACUUAUAGGAGGAAUUUUAGUUUAAGAACACCAGUACAAGCUUCCUAUGUAACCUAGCCCCUCUUUAAACAGCUGAAAACUCUGUAAGCCAAAAGUUGCCAUCGUUCAGAAGACUUUUAGGAAAGCCAUUUAGGGAUGAGUGUAUCAGAGGGAAUUCUUAUCAUUUUCCUGGCACACAUGUCUUCAAAUUGGCUCUUUCAAAGGACUGAUAUUAUUUUAUGUUAUUGGCAACUGAUUCAUUUCUAAAAUGCUGACUUGGACCUUGAAACAAUCUGGUCAUCAGCUCCUGGACCAGGGUCAUAUGUUCUUAGAAGAAAAGACUGAAGGUGGGUGGGAGAUUUAAAAGCAAAGGCAGGCUUCCUCUUCCGGUGUUUCUCCUGGAAAAGACCGAUGAGGUGUGUGGAAAGGGGAACAUAGAAAGAUAAAGGGAUAGGGCUGGAGCUGGCUCAGUAGUUAAGAACAACUCUUGCUCCUGUAGAGGACCCAUGUUCAAUUCCCAGGACUAAUAUAAAGCAGCUCACAAUUGCCUGUUUCUCCAGUUCCAAAGCCCUUUCCUGACUCCUGUAAGCACCUGUACUCAAGUUCACCUACCCAAACAUACACAUAAUUAAAAAUAAUAAAAAUAAAGGUUAUUUUGUAGAAAGUUGUGGAGACCUGGGAAAACAAGGUAUCAAGGACGUGGACCAACUGUUGAGACUCGUGUAUCUCUCAGCAUCCUGGAUCCAUCUGGUCAAAGUACUCUUUUUGACCCUCUCUCUAUCUCCCUUGAAAGUAGAGAAUUAUGUCCAUAAUUCCUGGUGCCACCUCCUGUUUGCUGCACAUGCCUUACGAACUAUUGCAGCCCUUGGAUGCAGUUCUACAAUCUCCCCUCUUCCCUGCUGCCUUGUCUCAUUGCUUGCUCUACCCACCUUUGCCCACCUUCCAGCCAAAGACUCAGACAUGGAAUAUGAUUAUAUCCCUUUUUGUGUUUCUCCUCUGCACAGCCCCUCUUGAAGUCUUCCAUCCAAGACCACAUCCAGGGGCCAGGGUGCGAGGGCCAUUGUGGUCUUGGCCUGCCUUGCUAGUGGGGAGACCAAUGUAACGUAUAGCACUGUAGGGGUCAGCAUUGUCCAGCAGGCCACCACUUACCUCCACACUUCCUUUCCUUGCGUCACCAUCUUUUCCUCCCCCAAAGGCACCAGCUGCUUCCAACUUCCAGUCUAGAAGCCUCUGGUGCAGGGGAGGUCUCCCUCUGCUCACACUGAGGUCAGUUAACACUAUUUCCACUCCAGGAGUGUUUAUCCCACCCCAACUAUAUAUAAAGGAAAACACACACACACGUGUUAUUAAAAUGAACUGUUUAUAUUAUCUCAGUUGAGUCAAUACAUUAUAAUGUAUUAAAAUGGAAAGGUACAAAAUUGAAAUAAAUACUUUCUGAUUCAUGUAUAAAUCUUUUUUUUUGUCAAGAUGACUUUUAUCAUCAGUACAUGUCACAAGAAAACAUUUAAAAUGACACCAAAACAAUCUCUGAAAUCAUGGUGCACGGAGGAAAAAGGUAAAGAAAACAACUGUUGGCUUGUUUUGGCAUGAGACCUUGAUACAAUUUGGGUUCCCCAAAACCACGUGAAGGGUGAUAAAAUAGAAAUGCUCAAAACUGACUUAAAAAAAUAAACAGGCUUUACAAAAAUCCUCUUUUUUUUUUCUGAACCCAGCCACUUCUCUACAUGGUCUGCACUUACAGUAGAUACAUUCAUUAUUGUCCAAGGGAAGACAGCCGCUGCCUUUCACUUAAAGAGCUUGGUGGAGAGGCUGAAGGGGGAUGUUGCAGCUGAAGGUGAGUAGAAUGUUCCAGAGAACAGAAAAGUCUAGAUGGUCUUCAGGAACAGCACUGAGCAUGAUGGGGUGAAGGGUCUCUGGGCGAGAGGUGGAGGCGGAGGGCAGGGAGGAGUCCAGUUCUCAAGCAGUGGAGGCCAAAGGACGGAGUAGGGUUGGUUUGUAGCUACCAUGGGCAUUGGGGAUCUCUCAGCCUGAGCAGUCCUGGGUUUGUCCUCAGCCUGGGAACACUGCUCUGUUAGUGAGGGGGGGGGGAGGUCCUGGGCUUUGGAGAGGGAGUGUGGUUGCCUUUCAGGCACAGCAGCGUCGGGGAGACAAGCAGGCUUCCAAGGUAUACCAUGGGAGGGACUUCUCGCCUGGUUCUGACUGUUUGGUAGGUGGUCAUUAAGGCAAUAAGGACUUUAGCAAACUAGAAGUUAAGGACAGCUAAGUUCAGCCAGAUCAAAGGUAAACGAAAGGUGAGAAGGGGGCCCUUUCUCCUCAGUUACUUUCCCCAAGCCAGCAAGCCUCAGCUCCUGGAGCACAGAUUUACAGUACGCAAUAGCAGAGGGCUUGCCCUUUGGGAGGCUCCACGGGAAGAAGGCUCGUCCAAGACUUGGGGCAACUUAAGCAGUCUCUACCCUCCGAACUGUUUCCUGUGGUCAUAUUCUGGUGAGUGGCAGGUGGAAGCACCAAGGUUCAUGCAGAAGUUAGGCCAAGACCCUGGCUCGCAUCUUGCUGGUCCAUCUCAUUGGCCUUGAACACCUCACAACCUGGAAAACCAGGCCAGAUGCUUGCAUGCACCGUGAGACCUACACUCAACUGGAGAGAGGGCAAGAAUCUCAGGGGUCCAGAGGGCACCUUCCCCUGAGCAGAUGACAGGAUAGUGAUAAAGGCUAUGGAACUAUGAGGUCCCACGUGGCCUCUGGGGAGCAGAGAAAAGCUCUUGUGAAUUGAAUCUAUUCUGAAGGAGACAUGCAGAUGAUAAAGGAGAGCAGAACUACCCUCUUCCUCCAUGCUCUGGACAAAGCAGUUACCUUGCAAUGCUAUGGGGAAGGUAACCUCAAACGGCUAUUUGUUCUUUGGGGCUGACUUCUGACAAGACUGCUGAGACUCCGGAGUGGAAGAAGAGGAUCUGGGACCAUUUCUGCCAAAGCGCACAACUAGCUAUCCCUGCAGAAGAACCAAGUAUGAUCCGGGUAAAGCAGAUAGAAUCAAUCCCCUCCAUCCUCCAGCCUGAGAUAACAGGCCAGAAAAGCUCUUUUUGAGAUGCCUGGGACCUGCAGGUAUAGCAACUUAGAGAUGCUAGACUCAAAUUAUUCAGGAGCCUUCUAAGGGACCUUGGUGGGGAUGAGACCUUUGCAAGAGGAAACACUCUAAUGGCCAGCUGUCUGGAGCUACAUCCCUGUCUAGUUCCUCCGGUGGAAGCUGUCUUAUUUAGGCCCUAAGAAGAGUAGGUAACAGGACCGUAAGAAUUCUAACAAUAAGCCAAUGACAAAAACGUAUGACAAGCAUGCUCUAGGGAUAUGGACAAAACAAGAUUGGUGGCAAGUAAAGUGAUCAGUGCUAAAGAGGACUGGUGGAUGACUUCCUUGUCGAGUCCUACUUUAGUGCCUGAUUAAACUUAUCCUGUACGUGAUACAUAGUACAAAACAAAUACUUUAAGAAGUGACCUAGCUUACACCUUCCUUUCCCUGACAGAAUACCCAAAGCCACUGGGAAUGGGCUCUGUAGAGCUAGAAUCCAGCCAUAUUUCUACAGCCACUGAGACUGCAGUCACCUUUAUAGUCUUUAAUUGAAGCCUACUCUCUGGCUUUGCGUUUACCAUGUUGAAAGGCAGGCAACAUUCUUCAGAACUGCCAAUGAGCCUCGGGAGCAUAGUGUUCAUGGCAGGCACCUUGUUGCUUUGCAAGGCUUGCAAGGCAUCCUUCUGGGGAGACCUGGCUUCCACAUAGCUCAGGGGAGCAGCAGCCCUGGGCUGGAGUUCUACUGUGAGCAGCGGCUGGUGUGUGGCCUCAGCUGCUCACUAAGUAAUGCACUCACCAGCCCUGCCUAUUCUUGGAAGAGUUUAAGAAUUCCAGGAAGAGCCGGGUGGUGGUGGCACACGCCUUUAAUCCCAGCACUCGGGGAGGCAGAGGCAGGCGGAUCUCUGUGAGUUGGAGGCCAGCCUGGUCUACAAGAGCUAGUUCCAGGACAGGCUCCAAAACCACAGAGAAACCCUGUCUCAAAAAUCAAAAAAAAAUAGAAAAGAAAAAGAAAAAGAAAAUACCAGGAAGAUAGGAGCUGUUCUAACGGUUCAGGAAAAGACUGGAAGGGUUCUCUAUACAAGCAUGACAGACGCUUACAACACAUCAUAAGGUGCACAGGCAAGAGUCUGUGCCCAGGAUAGUGAGACUGAAAGAAUGCUUGCAAAUUCGAUUGUGUUACCUGCUUUGUUAAAGUAAAGAGAAGCUAAUGAUAAUUGUUAUUACCAAUAUCAAGCACAUUAGUUUUAGGGCGUAUGGUCCUAAUAUGGAGUGAUGGCAGCUCCUUUUCUUGAUGAAAAAGGUUGGAUAUGUGGCUUACUGGCCAUCUUAGAUUCACCUUUCUCCCAGAGAACCACAAGGGGGUGUUCUAGAGCCAUAGAAGUCAAGGAAGAACCUUGAACCUUAACAUCUGACCCACACCUCGCAGGGGAUUGGGGCACAUCUCUUUCCAGAGAAGACCACUAGGAUGUCCAGGAUCCUUUCUGGUUCUCUUCAGAUGAUUGGUUGGGGACAGGAAGUAGCCCAUUGGGAGUAGGCUAAGAUAGAAGUUCUUUAAAGGUAUAAAGUCCUUUAAAAAAUCACCAACUCAGAAAUUUGAUCUCUUUUAAGAAACAUCCCUCAAUCUAACUGGAAUCAAAAACAUUUUUCCAUGUAAGAAGAAGAAAAAAAAAAGCCUUUUAAGACCUGGAGGCUUCUUGGUCUUUAUCAGUGAUGAUUCAGGAAAAAUCAAAGGGCCUCAGCAGCAGGCUGUGGACUCUGUUCUAAAAAUUCAAACAAAAGCAUGUUCUAGAGUAGAUCUUUGCAUGAUUGAGGGAUAAAUCUCAAGUGUCCUCCAGACCAAAAAAAAAAAAAAAAAAACCACAGAAGAAUGGUACACCAAGCUCCUUUAAAAAGGAAAGAAAGGCCUGAGGAUAUUGUCACUGUUGUGGAAAUGACACCCAUAAAAGUCCUUGAAACUGCCAUUUCACACAAGGAAAAUACCUAAUGGCUUCUGGUGGCUCCGCGGAGAUAAAAAUUGACAGAGAGAUGUGCAGUGAAUAAACAGGGAGAAUUUAAAGUAAACAUGAAGACUUGUUUGGAUCAGAGGCCAUGGCUUCCUGAGAAACACUAUUUAAAAAAAAAGUUUUAGAAUGUUCUUUCUGGAAUGAAUGGAAGCCUCUGGGAUGGAAACAACCUUGAGGAGGUCAUGGGGGGGGGGCUCAAGGAUGGGGAGUUAGAUGGACAGUUGGACUACUGUGUAUAUUAAGGAAAACUCAGAGCCCAUCCCAGCAGGAGAGUAGGAAGGGCAGGACAAAGGUAGAGAAUCCACUGUUAUUUCUAUCCAGUGCCUCUUAAAAACACAGGUGAAGAGGAGAUCUGCUCAUUUCCUGUCCCACACACUAACCUUCCUCACUUGGCUCACGCAGGCCUGGGAAAGUGGAAUGGGAACUGUGCAUUCCCAUCAACCAUGGUCAUGAAAGAUAUUUAGGGAUGUCAAGCAUGGUGGUUGGGGACAUACCACACAGCUUUCAUAAAUUUAAAGGGGUACUCUGAGCUUGUGGUUCUAUGUCAGAGAUGAACAAAGUGGCUCCAUCAGUUCUGCAGAGUUCCCUUUGUUCGUUAUUUCUUUCCUCUAGGCAUGGGUUGCCUCAUCUGUGGAAGGAGGACACUGGGUCCUCAGGGCUCUUGGGGCCUCUCUGGUGUUCAGGGUCUGCAGUCCCAGAGAUGCUGUCAGAUGAAACAGACAAGAGUAAGGUCUGAAUUCUACAGCCUUGCACCCAGAGAGAGUGAGCUUGCUCCUGACAAGUAGCAACUCACUGUUGUCCCCAUAGCCUCCCGGAGACUAGAGAGCGACAUCCUCAGCACACUGGUACUGCUCCCCUUGAGUCCUGGCCACAGAGAGCCUGCAAGAGAGGAACAAUGCUGCAACGGAUGUGUGGUUCCUCUGCAGACAGCCUUGACUUUGAGGAAAAGGAAAAAAUGCACUCAGUGCAUUCUGGAAAAUGCCCCCUGCAGCUGACAACAACGUGACACACAUAUACGCCACUGAGGACGUACGUGCCCAUGAGGAAGAAGAUGCCUGUGGAGUAUUCUGAGUUCUUAAUUCUGAGGAGGGGAGGCAGAGACAGCCAAGAACUUCCUUUGACUCAGCUGGCCAUUGGACAGAUGGUUAUCUCCAAAACCAAUGAGCUCCAGGAUCUUGGAAACCUAUGACCUCAGCUUGGGAAAGAAGAAGAAGCUUGAUUGCAGAGAGGUGAAGUGGUCUGCCCCGAGACAAAUAAGUGUCUGAGAAACACAGAUCCUGGGCUAAACACCACAAAGGUGCUAAUACCAACUGUACAUGUUGGAUCCCAGCAAGGGGAGGGGCUGUCUGUCAGAGUCUGGGGUGGGGAAAGAUAGGAUAACAAACUGCUAGGCUAGCGUACCAGGGAAUAAACCAGCCACAGAUGCAGACUUGGCAAAGAGAAGAUAGGACUUCAGGACAAGGACUCAAUUCCCUUGACAAGAGAUAAUGCCUAGCUAUUCUCCUCCCUCUAAUCCAUGUGGGAACCAUCCUGUCAAUAUCCUGUUUAAAACAUGUCUUCCCCCUGAGCAAGUCCAGGUGUCCUGAGAUGGGGUGGGGGUGUCUCAUAGUCUAUCUCCAAACAGCAAUUCAGUCUCGCAGGUAGCCUAGGACCCAUCUUUGCUUUAAGUGCACUGAAGACCCAGGAAAAGGCAACUGUCUCCCUUUCUGUCGUCACCCUCCUGAUGUGUCAUAUACGAAGAAACAGAGGCAUAACAAGGUCACCAGUUUUUCUACAGUCUUUCAUGUGGUGCCACUACAGUCUGGAAAGCUGGGCAUCUCUCUUUCUGAAUCCUGCAACAUCUUUCUGAACCCUCAACAUCUCCCAUUGCCUGUCCACCCAACUCAACAUUUAUUGCCUGUCUAUCUACAAUAUAUGUACUCUUGUGUAUAAAAUAUAAAUAAUUCUUAGA